UACAGAGGUCCCGAGCGUUGUUCGGAUUCAUUGGGCGUAAAGGGUGCGUAGGCGGUCUUCUAAGUUUGAUGUGAAAUCCCGGGGCUCAACCCUGGAAUUGCAUUGAAUACUGGAGGACUAGAGUACCGGAGAGGAAACUGGAAUUUACGGUGUAGCAGUGAAAUGCGUAGAGAUCGUAAGGAAGACCAGUGGCGAAAGCACUCUGCUGGGCCGACACUGACACUGAGAGACGAAAGCUAGGGGAGCGAAUGGG
rnacentral:rRNA from 1 species